rnacentral:lncRNA from 1 species
CCGCCAUGAAGGGCCAGGCGGUAGCGGACUUCUUCGCCGAGCUCACUGAGCGUCAGCCCAAUCCCAGCACGGAGAAUGAGCCCGAGACGGAAAUGGUCACCGCUAAGGAGCCAGCUCCCCUACAAUCAGAUUGGAACCUGCAUGUGGACGGCUCCGCCAGCGCCAAGGCCAGCGGCGCCGGAGUCAUCCUCACAGGACCUGGGGGGCUGAAUGUGGAAUACGCGCUAAAAUUCAACUUCAAAGCCUCCAACAAUAUGGCGGAGUACGAAGCACUCAUUGCCGGCUUACUCCUCGCCAUCG